GAGGGGAUAGCUCGGUGGUAGAGCACAUGCUUAGCGUGCACGAGGUCCUGGGUUCAACCCCCAGUACCUCUG
rnacentral:tRNA from 1 species